rnacentral:lncRNA from 1 species
CCCAGCUCAGGCAGCACCACAAGCCAGUGCCUGCUCAGCUAUAUCCAGCCCUGAAGGAUUGAAGCUCCCAGUGUCUGCCAAGUAUAAAACAUGGAGAACGUGGCCCUGGCAGACCAGGCCACACAGCAGCUUCCAUGUGUGGGUGCUCCCUCCAAGUCCUUCUCAACAGCAGUCUGAACUCAGCGGUUCACAAACACAAAGUUGUGCUAUGGGAAGAUUACUGACGGCUCAUUGACAAGAACUGGAAUAUGCAACCUGCAUACAAGGACGUUUUGAUAUCUUUGUCCUGGUGAAGUGAGGAGUCUGGAAUUAAACUACAUGUAAUACACACCAGGGCAUAGGACAGCACUCAGUCUUGUGUGUUGGUGCUCACCGCACCUUACCAUUUAAAGGAUCUCCCUGCUCAGCACUGUGAAAAGACUCCCACAUCAGCCUGCUGGGCAGACAUUUCCUUUCCAGAGAAUACAGAGGUGAUAUGUUCAUGUUAAGAGCGAAAAUGCAAGUCCUGCUGAGAGACUGGAACUCUUAUGAUUGCUGGAUGAGGAUUUUGCUGCGCCAUUCAACCCUACCCGCAGCGGCCCACGUUCUGCAGUCUGGCUGGGUGCUACGUACAGCGUGUCUUUGGGUGAGUGAUUCACUAACUCCUUGCAGUCUCCAGCUAACCCCACAGGAGCACAGCUGUUUAUACUUACAUCUGUUGUUCUUUUUUUUUUCUUUGGGGUCAACCUUUGAAACAAAAUUUGCCUUGAGAAGCAGAGGGUAAUGUGGGAGCCUUUCUGGUUCUGCACUUACUGGAACGGGUACAAUCAUUCAUAUUUUGUCCAAAACUCAGUGAAAUAGCUGAAUAUUUUCUAGACAGCUGCCAUGUCUAAUCACACUUAUUUGUGUUAAAGUUUUGAUGGCUGAUUUCCAUUUCUGGGACACUUUCAUGCCAUCUAAUGGACACAACAUUAUUUUAAAAUUGUGGACACAGACAGGAGCAUUGCUUGAAAUAAGACUGAUUGUGAAACAAGGUAGCCCUAUUUAGAGUUAAUUAUGACCCCUUGAGGGGACUUGGCAUAAGCAGCCCUGAGAAUAUUUAACGAAUUGGGAUGUUAGCCCAAGGAACAUUUAAUGGGCUUGAAAUAAGCCCACAUCUUUUCCCUUUUUUUGCUUCUUGUCUCUUUCUCUCGUUUGUUUUCAGUUUGAGAGAAGUAUAAUUGAAUUGGCAAAGUGUUCUCUCUGACAUUGAUUUUUACAGCCUCUUUACCUUUUAGACAAAGUUUCAUAUGUUACUGAUUUGAAAAUUCACCAUGAG